AGUGAACGCUGGCGGUAGGCCUAACACAUGCAAGUCGAACGGCAGCACAGUAAGAGCUUGCUCUUACGGGUGGCGAGUGGCGGACGGGUGAGGAAUACAUCGGAAUCUACUUUUUCGUGGGGGAUAACGUAGGGAAACUUACGCUAAUACCUCAUACGACCUACGGGUGAAAUCAGGGGAUCUUCGGACCUUGCGCGAAUGAAUGAGCUGUUGUCGGAUUAGCUAGUUGGCGGGGUAAAGGCCCACCAAGGCGACGAUCCAUAGCUGGGCUGAGAGGAUGAUCAGCCACACUGGAAGUGAGACACGGUCCAGACUCCUACGGGAGGCAGCAGUGGGGAAUAUUGGACAAUGGGGGCAAGCCUGAUCCAGCCAUACCGCGUGGGUGAAGAAGGCCUUCGGGUUGGAAAGCCCUUUUGUUGGGAAAGACAAGCAGCAGGUUAAUACCCCGCUGUUCUGACGGUACCCAAAGAAUAAGCACCGGCUAACUUCGUG
rnacentral:rRNA from 1 species